rnacentral:rRNA from 1 species
AGGACGAACGCUGGCGGCGUGCCUAACACAUGCAAGUCGAACGGAGUUAACGAUGGAAGCGGCCUUCGGGUGUGGAAGCCGUUAACUUAGUGGCGGACGGGUGAGUAACGCGUGAGUAACCUGCCUUCAGAGGGGGAUAACGUUCGGAAACGGACGCUAAUACCGCAUGACAUAGCGAUACCGCAUGGUAAUGCUAUCAAAGGAGCAAUCCGCUGAGAGAUGGACUCGCGUCUGAUUAGAUAGUUGGUGAGGUAACGGCUCACCAAGUCGACGAUCAGUAGCCGGACUGAGAGGUUGAACGGCCACAUUGGGACUGAGACACGGCCCAGACUCCUACGGGAGGCAGCAGUGAGGGAUAUUGCACAAUGGGCGCAAGCCUGAUGCAGCAACGCCGCGUGAGGGAAGACGGUCUUCGGAUUGUAAACCUUAGUCAACAGGGACGAAGCAAGUGACGGUACCUGUGGAGGAAGCCACGGCUAACUACGUGCCAGCAGCCGC